AUAUUGCUUUUAUUUCUUCUUUUUCCUUUCAGAGAAGGAGACAACCAAGAGCUGUGGAUCUGGAGAAGCUGACACUGAUAACGCCCGUCCCACAUCUGAAGCGUCCCUGUUUAUCCCCAAAGGCCAUCAGUUCAGCUCGUGGCUAAGGAAGAAGGAGAAUUGAGAGAAAGAGAACACAUUUUCAGUACCAGAUCAACACUUCAGGCAGAUAGAAGGGUGGGCAGCCAUCCGAGGGGAAGCUUUAAUUUGAGAGAGUCUGUGCUUAACAGCAGCAGUCCAGAGCCCUGCCAUGUCCUUUCCAUCGACUCCUUUUGUUUCUUUCUAAGAAAAAUAUUGUCAGGAGGUCUUUCACAGGGGAGAAGUCAAGGAGGGUAACAGUAAAUCUGCUUGCAGCAGCGAUGGCCAGCCCAGCUCCUGGCUGAUGGCAGCCUUGUGCCGACAGCCUGGCAAAUGAUCCCAAGCCAGAAACAGGACAAAGGACAGUGGUUUUUGGCAAUGCCACCCUCAGGCACUCAGCUGCCAUGGAGGAACUGCGAUCCUGGGGAAAUGAGCCACCUCUCUGCUUGGAGGAGGAGCAGAGUUUACACAUGGGCCCUGGUGCUUGGAGAAUGACUCAAAAUCAGAACAAGGUCCAGAAGGAAAUGAGGAAACUUACAGCAUGAAUGGUACACAUCAGUGAUGUCUGCUGAUACACAGCCAUGUGGGGCAGGGUGAAGCUUGCGCCAGUGACAACCACAAGAGGAGGUGUCUGCUCGGAUGGUUUCAGAAGGCUGUCUACGCUCAGAGGAAGGAUUCAGGGAUGCCAUGAGUGCUUUGAAACACAAAGCAAUGAUGUGCCAUUCAGCACAGCUGUCAAGUGGGGAGCCCAGUCGUGCCGUCUGCUAUGGUAGAAGCUGAGCCAGUCUGGGUGUUACGUGGUGGCCCACAGGCUGGGACAUCAUUGGAGGCUCAGGAGCUGCGGUCCCCAGGUGAGUGAGGAACAAAGGCCUGAGCUGUUUGAGGGCUCUGUCUCCUUUUUGGCCAACCUUCAACAUCAGUUUUGCCCUGGGAAGGAGCAAGGUGUGACUGCAGGAGAACAACAGAUUAAGCUAACUCUGAAUGCAUCACUGCAAGAAAUGAGCGUCUUCCCCAGCGUGCUGAUGCUUCUCUUCCUCUGAAGGUACUUCAUAAGGCAGAAGUAUUGUUGUUUUUGUCUUUGCACUUUGAGAUCACGGAGAAUGGGAUAAACCCCAGACCCUCCCAUCUCUGCCUCUUGCAGGAGCUGGUGCUGGCCCGUGUCACCCCCCCCCAAGAUGAGGCUUGGCCUUUGAUUUUGAGGGCACAGGAAUCUCAUCCUCCAGGCCUGGGAAUUUGAGCCUCAUCACAAAAGCAAAAGUCAAUAGCUCGCAACUGCCAGGUCAGGAAAUACAUUUUGGCUACCUCUGGUUUUAGGAAGAGACUUCUGUUUCCCCUCGGUUUCCCCUCCCUACACGCGGGUGCUACCUCUUUAGAAAUUCCAGCUUAUGGUGGUGGGGAAAUCACAAAAACUGCAAAUAAAGGGAUCAAAACCAUUGUGAAUAAUGUAUCGAAUGGAUACCCAUUUUCCACAUUAAAAUGCUAUAAAAACUUA
rnacentral:lncRNA from 1 species